CAAGUCGAACGCGAAAGCCCCGCAAGGGGUGAGUAGAGUGGCAAACGGGUGAGUAACACGUGGGUGACCUGCCUUCGAGUGGGGGAUAACGUUCCGAAAGGAGCGCUAAUACCGCAUGACAUUCUGCGUUUGGAAACGUGGAAAUCAAAGCCGGGGAUCGCAAGACCUGGCGCUUGGAGAGGGGCCCGCGGCCGAUUAGCUAGUUGGUGAGGUAACGGCUCACCAAGGCGACGAUCGGUAUCCGGCCUGAGAGGGCGGACGGACACACUGGGACUGAGACACGGCCCAGACUCCUACGGGAGGCAGCAGUGGGGAAUUGUUCGCAAUGGGCGCAAGCCUGACGACGCAACGCCGCGUGGAGGACGAAGAUCUUCGGGUCGUAAACUCCUUUCGAUCGGGAAGAGCGGCUGCCGGGUGAACAAUCCGGCAGAGUGACGGUACCGAGAGAAGAAGCCCCGGCUAACUCCGUGCCAGCAGCCGCGGUAAUACGGGGGGGGCAAGCGUUGUUCGGAAUUACUGGGCGUAAAGGGCUUGUAGGCGGCCAACUAAGUCCGACGUGAAAUCCCCGGGCUUAACCUGGGAACUGCGUCGGAUACUGGAUGGCUUGAAUCCGGGAGAGGGAUGCGGAAUUCCAGGUGUAGCGGUGAAAUGCGUAGAUAUCUGGAGGAACACCGGUGGCGAAGGCGGCAUCCUGGACCGGCAUUGACGCUGAAAAGCGAAAGCUAGGGGAGCAAACGGGAUUAGAUACCCCGGUAGUCCUAGCCCUAAACGAUGAAUGUUUGGUGUGGCGGGUAUCGAUCCCUGCCGUGCCGAA
rnacentral:rRNA from 1 species